GGAUCAUUACCGAGUUUACAACUCCCAAACCCCUGUGAACAUACCUAUUGUUGCCUCGGCGGUGCCUGUUCCGACAGCCCGCCAGAGGACCCCAAACCCUGAUUACAUUUAAGAAGUCUUCUGAGUAACCGAUUAAAUAAAUCAAAACUUUCAACAACGGAUCUCUUGGUUCUGGCAUCGAUGAAGAACGCAGCGAAAUGCGAUAAGUAAUGUGAAUUGCAGAAUUCAGUGAAUCAUCGAAUCUUUGAACGCACAUUGCGCCCGCUAGUAUUCUGGCGGGCAUGCCUGUUCGAGCGUCAUUUCAACCCUCAAGCCCCCGGGCUUGGUGUUGGGGAUCGGCGAGCCUCCGCGCCCGCCGUCCCCCAAAUCUAGUGGCGGUCUCGCUGUAGCUUCCUCUGCGUAGUAGCACACCUCGCACUGGGAAACAGCGCGGCCACGCCGUUAAACCCCCAACUUCUGAAAGUUGACCUCG
rnacentral:rRNA from 1 species